rnacentral:misc_RNA from 1 species
AUGGGAAUUGAUUCCUACAAUCCAACAGUGCGUGCACGCCUUGCAAAUGCUUCUAAAACGCGAGUCCUGAGCCUGAAGGAGUCUGCCCUGCACCGUAUUCCUGAUGACGUGAAAGAUCUAACAAUGUUGAAGCAUCUGGAUAUGAGUAUUAAUUAUCUGACUCAACUUCCCCCGUUUAUUGGGUCAAUGUCUCAUCUUAAGAAUUUAAAUUUGUCCAGAAAUCAACUAGAAUCUCUUCCUUUGGAGAUCAACUCCCUGGCGUGUCUUGAAGUUUUAAAUGUCUCACAAAACAAACUGACAGAGCUUCCCGAUCUGUCACAGUGUGUCUCAUUAAAGACAGUAGAGGCGAUAGAAAACCAAUUCAUCAUCUUCCCAGCUGGUGUGUGCAAAUGUCCAAAUCUCGAAACAUGCUUGUUAACUGAAAAUCGGAUCGAGAAACUUCCAGACGAAAUUCAUUCGCUACGGGCAAUUAGCGUGAUCCUCAACAAAAACCGGCUUCUCUCUCUCAACACCGCUAAUUUGCUUCGCUGUGAACGCUUGCGUGCAGUAAACGUGGACGAUAACCAACUAAAUCGCGACGAAAUUGAACAAUUCCUUGUGAAUGCGCCACGAGAAAUUCGUAUUUCAUUUGAAAGAAAUGUUUCGCAAAUGCAUACAACUGAUUUGCAGGUUUGUUCGGGUUCAAUUUUUAUUUUUAUCUAUACUACAUGCCUUACUGACUCAUAAUAACAAUUAAAAACAUUUUCCCACUUUUUGAAUAGCAAAAUAUAUUGAAAAACAAUAAAAGUACUUUGCCAGAAAUUGUAUAAAAUCUAAAUUUAGUUCGAACAGAAUUCUGUGCAUUUUACAUCCACGGUGUUUGCACAUUAUGCGCCGAAUUUGACGACAACUAACCAACUCGAUUUUUAUUUUUGCUCUCUGGUUGAUUUUUGAUUUCUUCUUUGCAGGAAAUGGGAAACGAUUCAUCUAAAACAAAAUCAAUUGGUGAUAAUGCACGGAAGAUUAUUGGAAAAUCCGGUCCAUCGACAUCAACGGUCAAUAAGCAUCUCGAAAUGGCAAGCAAAAGUCGGAUUCUUCAGCUAAAAGGAACUGGGCUCAAGAAAGUUCCUGACGAAAUCGAACCAUUAGCUGAUGUUCUCCGCAACUUGGAACUCAGUGAAAACAAAAUUCGAGAAAUUCCUAUCUUUAUUGGUCAAUUUUCUCAACUCAAGCAACUUCAUUUGGCUAAUAACUGUCUUGAAUUUCUACCUGAUGAACUUGGAUCGAUGAAAAAGCUGGAGAUUUUGAAUUUGGCGGGAAACAAGCUGAAAGCGUUGCCCGACACAAUUGUCGGUUGCACCGAUUUGAAAACCAUCGACUUAUCAUCCAACGUUUUCACCGUUUUUCCUGUAGCAGUGAUUGGCUGUUUGCAAUUGGAUAUACUCAAUUUAAAUGGAAACCAAAUUGAAUCUCUCCCUGACGAUAUAUCCAAUUUGAAAGUUAUCGAGUUAAGUCUGAAUCAAAAUCGACUGAGCUCCUUAAAUCCAUCAAAUCUUGCCAAAACUACACGACUGAGGACUCUUCGUCUCGAUGAAAACUGUUUGGAGAAGUCGGAGUUCACUCGCGAUUUACUAGAAUCUUCAACAAUUUCCGUGAUGUCAUACGACGGAAAUCGAUUCCAAUUGAAAGAUUUUCAAGAUUUACCAGGAUAUGAUGCUUAUCAAGAACGUUUCACUGCUACUAAACGUAAAAUCUAAAG